rnacentral:lncRNA from 1 species
GUUCUGGUGGCAUGGUGGGGGCAGGCUGCCGUCCGUCUGCGUCUAUCAGUGUCGGGAGCCAGUGGUGUGGGCAGGGGGCGGGGGAUGCUCGCUCACCACUGGAAUCAAGUCAGAGUGAGAAGGAAAAGAUGGCCUCCGCCAGCCUCAGUGCCAGCAAUGCUGAGGGAGCCCAUACUAACGGCUUCUGUCAGUGUUGUUUCUGGAGAGUGAUCCAGGAGAUUUCUGACCCUCUGGCAGAUGCUUUGUUAGUAAGUGACUCUCCUUCACAUAAAGUCUAGGCUCUUUUCAAACUGCUCCUUUUUAUACUGGGUCCCAGGGCAAAUGAGUCUCUAUAUGAGCCCUUUAAAUGCAAAAUCUUCGUUCUUGAUAACCUUAUAUUUCUUCUGAACAGCAGAUCUGUUGGUUUUUUUCAAAGCCAGACACUUUGAGGGCUCUUCUCUCAGGCACAGGUCCCAGGGAUUCAGGUGGGUGGUGUGUGAGAAGCUCCAUUUUAUGCAUGUACGUACUUGUUUAUUUUUGACAUCCCUUAAGAUUGUGAGUUGCUACUCUGGGGUUGGGGGAGGCAGGGUUGAUAAGUAUGUGUCUCUGCCUCUCCUACACAUCUCCAUGUGGCUCUUUUAUCCUUAAUUUUAUAGCAAGUGCUAGAUGCUCAGGUUUUUUUUCAGAGGGAUUUGUUUCAUGCAUAACUAUAUUUGUUUUAUCUGUAAAAGGAGGUGAAUUCAGAAUCUUUCCAUACAGCCAUCUUGAAGUGCCUCAUAAUCUUAGUUUUGAAGAUUGGAAAAUGAAAAGAUCACUUACUGAGGAAAUUGGAGACUGCAGCAGAUAUUCAUUGGAAGGAAAUCAACACUGGAUAUUCGUUGGAAGAAC